AAUAUUUUUUUUUUUUUUUAGGAUGAAGAUUAUAGUGCAGAAUAUCUACACUUCUCUGAUGAUGUGGGAAAUCUUCAAAGUAAUAAUUCAAAUCAUAGAGAAACUAGAAUUUCUUACUAUGAUUUUUCAGAUACGCCUAAUGCUAAAACUUCACAAACGUCGCAAAAUAUGAAGGCUCUUAAUUAUAACAACAGCAGCAGUGUUGAUUGGCAGAAUUAUUUUUCUUUUGAUGAAAAUAGUUUUGAGUCAUACGAAAAUGAGGAGUUUUGCGAAAAUGAUGACACUACUUCAGAGUCGGACAGUCUAGAAUAUGUAUU